UCUUAUAGAUGAGCAAAGGAAGUGGUUACUUGAAAUGGAAUCUACUCCUGGUAAAGAUGCUGUGAA
rnacentral:pre_miRNA from 1 species